AUGCUUUUGUGGUAUUAAAGCAUGCAGAUGAACUGCGCAUAGGGAGGAUAAUGACGGGCGUCGAUUUUUCAGUUGCCAAAACUUUCAGGCUGGACAUUCUUGCGGAUAUUUUUGUUGGUAUGACCCGGAAAUAUCACAAUAUGGCGAGAAGAAAAUCAACUGUUUAAAAACCGAAAUUGAAAAGAUACAAUUAGCAAUGGAUGUCCAAACAACUCGACAUCGACUAGAAAUAGAGAUUGAGAGGCGCAAGAGAAAUGUUGAGAGAGUCAUUGUAGUUUUAGUAAUUUCAAUGUCAUGGGUACUUUGUUUAGGCUUAUUUUUUGGAAAAUUCUAAGACAAUAUGUAAUCUUUGAAGUUAAUUUCAAUGUCAUGGGUACUUUGUUUAGGCUUGUUUUGAA